GAAGUUGGAGUCGCUAGUAAUCGCAGAUCAGCAACGCUGCGGUGAAUACGUUCCCGGGCCUUGUACACACCGCCCGUCACGUCAUGAAAGUCGGUAACACCCGAAGCCGGUGGCCUAACCCCUUGUGGGAGGGAGCCGUCGAAGGUGGGAUCGGCGAUUGGGACGAAGUCGUAACAAGGUAGCCGUACCGGAAGGUGCGGCUGGAUCACCUCCUCU
rnacentral:rRNA from 1 species